rnacentral:lncRNA from 1 species
AAGCCGAGUUAAAAAGCUUUACAUCCUUCAAAAGCAGUACAAUCUUUAAUAAAAAUUACCCCAGUUAUAUUUACAACCACCAGGGUUAAAUAUAGGAAUAUGUUUUGUGGGAAACCACCAAACUGGCUUUCAAAGUGGCUGUUUUCACUCACACCAGCCACCUGCUGUCACUCCGUGUGUCUCUAGCUGCUGCCGGGAGUCUGAGUUUUAGCCAUUCUAAUAGACACGCAGUGGUAUCUCAUUAUUGCUUCCCUUUGCACUUCCCUGAUGGUUCUGACGGGGAACAUCUUUUGUGUGCUUCCUUGCAUCUGAAUGUCUUCUCUGGUGAGUUCUUCAAGUCUCAGGACUGUUUUUCCAGCAGUUGUUCGACUCCUAACAUCCUUUUUAAUUUUUCUGCCUUUUAUCUUUCCCUUGGGGUAGGACAUUGACCUCAGGGCCUCCUGCUCCUCAGGUAAGCAUUCUACCACUGAGCUACAUCCCCACCUUUCGCUUCUUUCUUAUUCUAUUUUAGGAAUUUAAGUAAAGAAUUGUAGAAAUAGAAGGUAUUUCUACUACAUUAAGAAGGUAAGCACUUUUUUUUUUCUUUUUUCUUUUUUUCGGAGCUCGGGACCGAA